rnacentral:rRNA from 1 species
AUUGAACGCUGGCGGCAUGCUUUACACAUGCAAGUCGAACGGUAACAGGCCGCAAGGUGCUGACGAGUGGCGAACGGGUGAGUAAUGCAUCGGAACGUGCCCAGUCGUGGGGGAUAACGCAGCGAAAGCUGCGCUAAUACCGCAUACGAUCUAUGGAUGAAAGCGGGGGACCGUAAGGCCUCGCGCGAUUGGAGCGGCCGAUGUCAGAUUAGGUAGUUGGUGGGGUAAAGGCUCACCGAGCCAACGAUCUGUAGCUGGUCUGAGAGGACGACCAGCCCCACUGGGACUGAGACACGGCCCAGACUCCUACGGGAGGCAGCAGUGGGGAAUUUUGGACAAUGGGCGCAAGCCUGAUCCAGCAAUGCCGCGUGCAGGAAGAAGGCCUUCGGGUUGUAAACUGCUUUUGUACGGAACGAAACGGCUCUGGUUAAUACCUGGGGCUAAUGACGGUACCGUAAGAAUAAGCACCGGCUAACUACGUGCCAGCAGCCGCAGUAAGAC